rnacentral:rRNA from 1 species
ACCAGAAGCCAUAUCACCCUGAAACUCUUAGCUAGUAAUCCAUUGAAGCUAAGCAGAAGUGAGCUUAGUCAGUAUCUGGAUGGGAGACCUCCUGGGAAAAAUUAAGGCUGCUGCUGGAA